GUGGGGAAUAUUGGACAAUGGGCGCAAGCCUGAUCCAGCCAUGCCGCGUGAGUGAUGAAGGCCCUAGGGUUGUAAAGCUCUUUCACCGGUGAAGAUAAUGACGGUAACCGGAGAAGAAGCCCCGGCUAACUUCGUGCCAGCAGCCGCGGUAAUACGAAGGGGGCUAGCGUUGUUCGGAAUUACUGGGCGUAAAGCGCACGUAGGCGGACAUUUAAGUCAGGGGUGAAAUCCCGGGGCUCAACCCCGGAACUGCCUUUGAUACUGGGUGUCUGGAGUAUGGAAGAGGUAAGUGGAAUUCCGGGUGUAGAGGUGAAAUUCGUAGAUAUUCGGAGGAACACCAGUGGCGAAGGCGGCUUACUGGUCCAUUACUGACGCUGAGGUGCGAAAGCGUGGGGAGCAAACAGGAUUAGAAACCCCAGUAGUCC
rnacentral:rRNA from 1 species